UAGGGAAUAUUGGGCAAUGGGCGCAAGCCUGACCCAGCCAUGCCGCGUGUCGGAAGAAGGCCCUCUGGGUUGUAAACGACUUUUGACGGGGAAGAAACGACCUUUGCGAAGGGCAUUGACGGUACCCGCAGAAUAAGCACCGGCUAACUCCGUGCCAGCAGCCGCGGUAAUACGGAGGGUGCAAGCGUUGUCCGGAUUUAUUGGGUUUAAAGGGUGCGUAGGCGGUCUGGUAAGUCGGCGAUGAAAGCCCGGGGCUCAACCCCUGAACUGUCGUCGAUACUGUCGGACUUGAGUGAGGUGAAGGCUGGCGGAAUGGGCGGUGUAGCGGUGAAAUGCAUAGAUACCGUCCAGAACCCCGAUUGCGAAGGCAGCUGGCUGUACCUUUACUGACGCUGAGGCACGAAAGCGUGGGGAGCGAACAG
rnacentral:rRNA from 1 species